AAACCAACGAUACGACAAGUUUGGAUCCGGAAAGGUGAUAUCUUUCCUUGUUCCUCGUCCUAGUCAUUUUGAUCUUUAGUGUAAUGCUUUGAUUUGUGUUUGUUGCAUAAUUUUAUUCAUUGCAUUACAUGUUUGAAUGAUUUUUGAUGCAUUGAAUUUUUGUUUAUUUAAAAAUCAUUUUGAGGAAAUGUGUUUAGGAAUUCAAAAUUUUCGAGAAAAGAGAAGAUUGAGAUUCAUGAUCUUGGAGAGAGAAAUUUUUUUAA
rnacentral:lncRNA from 1 species